rnacentral:rRNA from 1 species
AAUAGAUACCCCGGUAGUCCACGCCGUAAACGAUGAUAACUAGCUGUCCGGACUCAUAGAGUUUGGGUGGCGCAGCUAACGCAUUAAGUUAUCCGCCUGGGGAGUACGGUCGCAAGAUUAAAACUCAAAGGAAUUGACGGGGGCCUGCACAAGCGGUGGAGCAUGUGGUUUAAUUCGAAGCAACGCGCAGAACCUUACCAGCGUUUGACAUCCUGAUCGCGGAUUAGAGAGAUCUUUUCCUUCAGUUCGGCUGGAUCAGUGACAGGUGCUGCAUGGCUGUCGUCAGCCCGUGUCGUGAGAUGUUGGGUUAAGUCCCGCAACGAGCGCAACCCUCAUCCCUAGUUGCCAUCAUUCAGUUGGGCACUCUAAGGAAACUGCCGGUGAUAAGCCGGAGGAAGGUGGGGAUGACGUCAAGUCCUCAUGGCCCUUACGCGCUGGGCUACACACGUGCUACAAUGGCGGUGACAGUGGGCAGCAACCCCGGCGAGGGGUAGCUAAUCUCCAAAAGCCGUCUCAGUUCGGU